rnacentral:tmRNA from 1 species
GGGGAUGACUGGCUUCGACGGAAGAGGCUGGUUCAGAACUGCGAGUCGAGAGGUGCCGACCUCGUAAAAUCAGCACAAAAAAAUUAAGUGCCAAAAGCACAAACUAUGCUGCUCUUCCCCUGGCUGCCUAAGCUAGGAUAGAACGCAUAACCCGGCCCCCAGGGGCCGCGCCCUCCAGCUCCCCGCUCCGACGGGAGAUGGAUACGGCGUCACAAUGCCGGAGUGCAGCACGCGACACCGCUAAAUGUGCUUAAGAGGAGCUUUCGGGUUCCAGCGGUUAGCCAACUGAUUCUUUGGUCUCCUGCAGGCCAGUUGGUUAAACCAAGCAAGAGACUACACUCGUAGACGUUCGAAAACCUAUCCUUUCGGACGCGGGUUCGAUUCCCGCCAUCUCCACCU